CACUCAGUGUGUGAAUUCGCUGCAUUCUCCUCAGAGAAGCCGGGUAUCACUCGCUCUGUGAACUCCAUGCAAUUUCCUUCAGGACAGCCAGACACCACUUGGUCUGCGACCUCAGUGCAAUCUCCUCAGUGAAGCUGGUCACCACUUGCUGUGUGAAUUCUGUGCACUCUCCUCAGAGAAGCCGGGUACCGCUUGCUCUGUGAACUCCAUGUAAUCUCCUUCAGGGAAGCCGGGCUCCACUUGGUCUGUGACCUUGGUGCAUUCCACUCAGAAAUGCCGGACACCACUCAGUCUGUUACCUGGGUGCAAUCUCCUCAGAGAACCCAGGCACCACGUGGUGUGUGAACUUGCAAUCUCUUUCACAAGCUGUUGCAGUUCUUUGCCUGUCCCCAACCAAGUUUUUACUUAGUUCUCCCCUAAUCUUUAGCACUGCUCGGAAUUUUAAUAGCUACUUGCUUCUCCAACCCCUAUUCAGCUUUCCAAAAAUUCAGCCAUUUGAGAGGCCAUGUUUAGACUUCUCAGAAAUCCAAAUGAUAACAACUUGCAACCCAGCCUUCAGUGAUGGAGAAGAUCCCCCCACAGCCAACACACCUCAGCUGAGGCACAGCGUGCAAGCACAGUAUAGUAUUCAAUUACAAGAACAUGCCACCAUCUAUCUGCCCAUUCUUAUUUGAUGGCUGUUUGAGUUUCUUCCAGCAUUGGACUAACGUGGAAUUGGAUAUAGUAUGUGCACAAUUUCUCACCUGUGUGGAGCCAGCCAGCACCCAACCAUCAAGUUUCUCCCCAAAGCACCAGGUAUAAAGAUGGCUCUUCCAGCUGGGGCACCCAAGUGCAGGUGACUCAGGACAGAAAUGCAGUUGUAAGAAAAACCAUCUGCCUGUGAGUCACCGAGACUUUUAAUUUGUUGCUGCUACAGAAUGAGUGAGUUGACCCCAGAACAAAAGCUCCAUUCCCUCCCUUGUCACCCUGACUCCACCACUAUGAGAGCACGUGGACAGGCAGAUAUGAGUGAAACUGCCUUUGCAAAAUUAUGACUGAGACAGUGAAACAGAUCUAACUUAACUGAUUCCAUCUUGCUUCUAACCUCCAAGCUGUCCUUGUUCAUUCCUGGGUGUAGGCUGAACUAACUUUGGGAGGAACUUAUAGUUUAUGGUUUAAAACAAAGAUAAUAACAGUCCUUUCCCAAAGCAGACCUCCUUCUCAUCUGGGGAUUAGAUUGCCUUUAUAGGACUAAUAUUAGCCACAAGAUUAGAAAUUAUGGCUUAGGAGCCACACAGCUGGAGGCUACAAGAGUCUGACUCUCCCCAAACUGCUCCUAAUAUCAGUACUUGAUAUAUUUUGCAGACCCUGAACUUGAUGGAUCAGCUGGCACCACCCAGACAGAAAAACUGGCUCAUCUGAUCUUGUGGCCCCUGCGCAGGAAUUGACUCAGCGCAAGAGAAUAGCUUCAACUCCCUAUGAUUUCAUCCCCGACCAAUCAGCACUUCUGGUUCACUGACUUCCCCCCACCCACAAAGUUGUCCUUAAAAACUCUGCUCCCAAAUGCUUGCAGAGACUGAUUUGAGUAAUAAUA